rnacentral:rRNA from 1 species
UGGGGAAUUUUGGACAAUGGGCGAAAGCCUGAUCCAGCAAUGCCGCGUGUGUGAAGAAGGCCUUCGGGUUGUAAAGCACUUUUGUCCGGAAAGAAAUCCUUGGCUCUAAUACAGUCGGGGGAUGACGGUACCGGAAGAAUAAGCACCGGCUAACUACGUGCCAGCAGCCGCGGUAAUACGUAGGGUGCAAGCGUUAAUCGGAAUUACUGGGCGUAAAGCGUGCGCAGGCGGUUUGCUAAGACCGAUGUGAAAUCCCCGGGCUCAACCUGGGAACUGCAUUGGUGACUGGCAGGCUAGAGUAUGGCAGAGGGGGGUAGAAUUCCACGUGUAGCAGUGAAAUGCGUAGAGAUGUGGAGGAAUACCGAUGGCGAAGGCAGCCCCCUGGGCCAAUACUGACGCUCAUGCACGAAAGCGUGGGGAGCAAACAGGAUUAGAUACCCUGGUAGUCCACGCCCUAAACGAUGUCAACUAGUUGCUGGGGAUUCAUUUCCUUAGUAACGUAGCUAACGCGUGAAGUUGACCGCCUGGGGAGUACGGUCGCAAGAUUAAAACUUAAAGGAAUUGACGGGGUCAUAGCUGUUUCCU